AUUGAACGCUGGCGGCAGGCCUAACACAUGCAAGUCGAACGAGUGGCGGACGGGUGAGUAAUGUCUGGGAAACUGCCUGAUGGAGGGGGAUAACUACUGGAAACGGUAGCUAAUACCGCCUACCAUCGGAUGUGCCCAGAUGGGCUUAGCUAGUAUGUGGGGUAAAGGCUAACCUAGUGGACGAUCCCUAGCUGGUCUGAGAGGAUGACCAGCCACACUGGAACUGAGACACGGUCCAGGCGCCUACGGGAGGCAGCAGUGGGGAAUAUUGCACAAUGGGCGCAAGCCUGAUGCAGCCAUGCCGAGUGUAUGAAGAAGGCCUUCGGGUUGUAAAGUACGUUCAGCGGUGAGGCGUUACCCGCAGAAGAAGCACCGGCUAACUCCGUGCCAGCAGCCGCGGUAAUAC
rnacentral:rRNA from 1 species